UGAAGUCAUAGCCGUCAGGUCUU
rnacentral:misc_RNA from 1 species